rnacentral:rRNA from 1 species
GACGAACGCUGGCGGCGUGCCUAAUACAUGCAAGUUGAGCGCUGAAGGUUGGUACUUGAACCAACUGGAUGAGCAGCGAACGGGUGAGUAACGCGUGGGGAAUCUGCCUUUGAGCGGGGGACAACAUUUGGAAACGAAUGCUAAUACCGCAUAAAAACUUUAAACACAAGUUUUAAGUUUGAAAGAUGCAAUUGCAUCACUCAAAGAUGAUCCCGCGUUGUAUUAGCUAGUUGGUGAGGUAAAGGCUCACCAAGGCGAUGAUACAUAGCCGACCUGAGAGGGUGAUCGGCCACAUUGGGACUGAGACACGGCCCAAACUCCUACGGGAGGCAGCAGUAGGGAAUCUUCGGCAAUGGACGAAAGUCUGACCGAGCAACGCCGCGUGAGUGAAGAAGGUUUUCGGAUCGUAAAACUCUGUUGGUAGAGAAGAACGUUGGUGAGAGUGGAAAGCUCAUCAAGUGACGGUAACUACCCAGAAAGGGACGGCUAACUACGUG